CUUUCAUUGCUUAAUAUGUUAUGAAUUUAUUAUUUCUAAUAAAAAAACAAAUAGACUGAAUUGUUAACCAAGCUACCACAUGCUUAAAUGAGUAUAUUUAGCAUCAAAUAUUUUGAGUUUAAAGUAUAUAUACAGUAUAUACCAUUUUAUUAUUAACUUAAAAUCUGUGGUAUAAUACUGUUAAUUUUCUUCAGAGAUGAUAAUAUUAAAGUUCAAAGUAAACAUCCCCAAUUUAUGCAACUGGCAAGUGGAAAAUCAGAAUUUAAACUCAGAUUUCUUUAAGCCUGACAACAGGCUGUAAACUAUGCACUAUGUAACUUUCAUCUAACAAACACAUGUGUGGGCAGGAACUCAAAUCAUAAUGGAAUGUGUUUCUAAUAGGAACUUUAAACUGAUUUCAUUUUCACAACUACCUUUCCAGGAGCUAUUUCCAUCACCAACAUGAGGAAUGCAAGUGUGUAAGAUAUUAAAGAACUUGUCCACAUGAGCUAAUAGAAGAAACAUAUAAUAGACAUGGGUCUUCUAGCUACAAGAAGCAGUCAUUCUGGCCAAGGAAGGGUGUCCAGGGUCUGGAAUAGGACAGAGUACACUGGGCUAAAACUGUCAAAAAGCAUUCAGUGCUGCUUCUCAAUCUCGAGACACGGACCACAGACCAACCCGGAGGUCACUGAUCUCUCCAUGUUGGAAAUCUACGUAUAUUUGUGAUUGAAUAACCUUUAGGUAACUUCUAUCUUUGAUCUAUAUUUACUCUAACAAUGC
rnacentral:lncRNA from 1 species